rnacentral:rRNA from 1 species
AAUGAACGUUGGCGGCGUGGAUUAGGCAUGCAAGUCGUGCGGAAAGGCUCCUUCGGGAGUACUCGAGCGGCGAAAGGGAGAGUAACGCGUGGAUAUCUACCCCCUGGACUGGGAUAGCGGCUGGAAACUGCCGGUAAUACCAGAUAACGUCUGCGGACCAAAGGUGUGAUUCCGCCGGGGGAUGAGUCCGCGUCCUAUUAGCUAGUUGGUGGGGUAAUGGCCUACCAAGGCAAAGAUGGGUGCCGGGUGUGAGAGCAUGGCCCGGCUCACUGGGACUGAGACACUGCCCAGACACCUACGGGUGGCUGCAGUCGAGAAUCUUCGGCAGUGGGCGCAAGCCUGACCGAGCGACGCCGCGUGCGGGAUGAAGGCCUUCGGGUUGUAAACCGCUGUCAGAGGGGAGGAAAUGCAUGGGGGUUCUCCCUCAUGUUUGACCUAUCCUCAGAGGAAGUACGGGCUAAGUUCGUGCCAGCAGCCGCCGUAAUAC